GACGAACGCUGGCGGCGUGCUUAACACAUGCAAGUCGAACGGAAAGGCCCCUUUGGGGGUCCUCGAGUGGCGAACGGUUGAGUAACACGUGAGUAACCUGCCCUUGACUUCGGGAUAACUUCAGGAAACUGGGGCUAAUACCGGCUAGGAAUCCUUGCUGCAUGGUGGGGGUUGGAAAGCUUCGGCGGUUUUGGAUGGACUCGCGGCUUAUCAGCUUGUUGGUGGGGUAGUGGCUUACCAAGGCUUUGACGGGUAGCCGGCCUGAGAGGGCGACCGGCCACAUUGGGACUGAGAUACGGCCCAGACUCCUACGGGAGGCAGCAGUGGGGAAUAUUGCACAAUGGGCGGAAGCCUGAUGCAGCAACGCCGCGUGCGGGAUGACGGCCUUCGGGUUGGAAACCGCUUUCAGCAGGGGCGAAGCUUGUGGUGACGGUACCUGCAGAAGAAGCACCGGCUAACUACGUG
rnacentral:rRNA from 1 species